rnacentral:misc_RNA from 1 species
AACGCAUAUUGCGCUCUUUGGUAUUCCGAAGAGCAUGCUUGUUUGAGUAUCAGUAAACACCUCAACCUCUCUUUUUUGAUAAAAAAAAGGGAGGGUGGACUUGAGCUAUCCCAACGACCUUCACCGGUAGGCGGGCGGCUUGAAAUGCAGGUGCAGCUGGACUUUUAUCUGAGCUAAAAGCAUAUCUAUUUAGUCCUCGUCAAACAGGAUUAUUACUUUUUGCUGCAGCUAACAUAAAGGGAGUUUUGACCAUUAUGGCUGACUGAUGCAGGAUUUCACAGAGAAAAGGCCGGCAACGGUUUUGUCUCUGUCAAACUCGAUCUCAAAUCAAGUAAGACUACCCGCUGAACUUAAG